rnacentral:pre_miRNA from 1 species
AUUAUACUCCCUCCGUCCGAAAAUACUUGUCCUAGAAAUUGAUAAAAUGGAUGUAUCCAUAACUAAAAUAAGUCUAGAUAUAUCCAUUUCUAGGACAAGUAUUUUCGGACGGAGGGAGUACUUU